rnacentral:rRNA from 1 species
UACAGAGGUCUCAAGCGUUGUUCGGAUUCAUUGGGCGUAAAGGGUGCGUAGGCGGCGCGGUAAGUCGGGUGUGAAAUCUCGGAGCUUAACUCCGAAACUGCAUUCGAUACUGCCGUGCUUGAGGACUGGAGAGGAGACUGGAAUUUACGGUGUAGCGGUGAAAUGCGUAGAUAUCAGGAGGAACACCGAUGGCGAAGGCAGGUCUCUGGGCAUUAACUGACGCUGAGGAGCGAAAGCAUGGGGAGCGAAUAGG